UGCAACUCGACUGCGUGAAGUCGGAAUCGCUAGUAAUCNCGGAUCAGCAUGCCGCGGUGAAUACGUUCCCGGGCCUUGUACACACCGCCCGUCACACCAUGAGAGUCGGGAACACCCGAAGUCCGUAGCCUAACCGCAAGGGGGGCGCGGCCGAAGGUGGGUUCGAUAAUUGGGGUGAAGUCGUAACAAGGUACC
rnacentral:rRNA from 1 species